CCUACGGGCGGCAGCAGUGGGGGAUAUUGCACAAUGGGGGAAACCCUGAUGCAGCGACGCCGCGUGGGUGAAGAAGCGCCUCGGCGCGUAAAGCCCUGUCAGCCGGGAAGAAAAUGACGGUACCUGAAGAAGAAGCCCCGGCUAACUACGUGCCAGCAGCCGCGGUAAUACGUAGGGGGCAAGCGUUAUCCGGAUUUACUGGGUGUAAAGGGGGCGCAGACGGAGUUGCAAGCCAGGAGUGAAAGCCCGGGGCCCAACCCCGGGACGGCUCUUGGAACUGCGUGGCUAGAGUGCAGGAGGGGCAGGCGAAAGUCCUGGUGUGGCGGUGAAAUGCGUAGAUAUCAGGAGGAACACCGGUGGCGAAGGCGGCCUGCUGGACUGCAACUGACGUUGAGGCCCGAAAGCGUGGGGAGCAAACAGGAUUAGAUACCCGGUAGUC
rnacentral:rRNA from 1 species